rnacentral:rRNA from 1 species
UACGUAGGGGGCAAGCGUUGUCCGGAAUUAUUGGGCGUAAAGCGCGUGUAGGCGGCUCGGUAAGUCUGCUGUGAAAGUCCAGGGCUCAACCCUGGAAUGCCGGUGGAUACUGUCGAGCUCGAGUCCGGAAGAGGCGAGUGGAAUUCCUGGUGUAGCGGUGAAAUGCGCAGAUAUCAGGAAGAACACCUAUGGCGAAGGCAGCUCUCUGGGACGGUACUGACGCUGAGACGCGAAAGCGUGGGGAGCGAACAGG